rnacentral:rRNA from 1 species
UUCUUAGGGUACAGUCAUUAUCUUCCCCUACAAAAGAGCUUUACAACCCAAAGGCCUUCUUCACUCACGCGGCAUCGCUGCAUCAGAGUUUCCUCCAUUGUGCAAGAUUCCCCACUGCUGCCUCCCGUAGGAGUA